UACGGGGGGGGCAAGCGUUGUUCGGAAUUACUGGGCGUAAAGGGCUCGUAGGCGGUCUAUUAAGUUCGACGUGAAAUCCCCAGGCUCAACCUGGGAACUGCGUCUGAUACUGGAUGGCUUGAAUCCGGGAGAGGGAUGCAGAAUUCCAGGUGUAGCGGUGAAAUGCGUAGAUAUCUGGAGGAAUACCGGUGGCGAAGGCGGCAUCCUGGACCGGCAUUGACGCUGAGGAGCGAAAGCCAGGGGAGCAAACGGG
rnacentral:rRNA from 1 species